rnacentral:rRNA from 1 species
ACGCUCGACACCUACGGGGAGGUAGCAGUGGGGAAUAUUGCACAAUGGGGGAAACCCUGAUGCAGCGACGCCGCGUGAGCGAAGAAGUAUUUCGGUAUGUAAAGCUCUAUCAGCAGGGAAGAAAGUGACGGUACCUGACUAAGAAGCACCGGCUAAAUACGUGCCAGCAGCCGCGGUAAUCUGAGCGGGCUGGCAAGGC